UGCCGCGUGUGUGAAGAAGGCCUUCGGGUUGUAAAGCACUUUUGUUCGGGAAGAAAUCGUGCGGAUUAAUACUCUGCGCGGAUGACGGUACCGAAAGAAUAAGCACCGGCUAACUUCGUGCCAGCAGCCGCGGUAAUACGAAGGGUGCAAGCGUUACUCGGAAUCACUGGGCGUAAAGCGUGCGUAGGCGGUUGGUUAAGUCUGCUGUGAAAGCCCUGGGCUCAACCUGGGAACUGCAGUGGAUACUGGCUAGCUAGAGUGUGAUAGAGGAUGGUGGAAUUCCCGGUGUAGCGGUGAAAUGCGUAGAGAUCGGGAGGAACACCAGUGGCGAAGGCGGCCAUCUGGAUCAACACUGACGCUGAGGCACGAAAGCGUGGGGAGCAAACAGGAUUAGAUACCCUGGUAGUCCACGCCCUAAACGAUGCGAACUGGACGUUGGUUGCAACUUGGCAAUCAGUGUCGAAGCUAACGCGUUAAGUUCGCCGCCUGGGGAGUACGGUCGCAAGACUGAAACUCAAAGGAAUUGACGGGGGCCCGCACAAGCGGUGGAGUAUGUGGUUUAAUUCGAUGCAACGCGAAGAACCUUACCUGGCCUUGACAUCCACGGAACUUUCCAGAGAUG
rnacentral:rRNA from 1 species